GGGACACGUGGUAUCCUGUCUGAAUAUGGGGGGACCAUCCUCCAAGGCUAAAUACUCCUGACUGACCGAUAGUGAACCAGUACCGUGAGGGAAAGGCGAAAAGAACCCCGGCGAGGGGAGUGAAAAAGAACCUGAAACCGUGUACGUACAAGCAGUGGGAGCCUCUUUAUGGGGUGACUGCGUACCUUUUGUAUAAUGGGUCAGCGACUUAUAUUCUGUAGCAAGGUUAACCGAAUAGGGGAGCCGAAGGGAAACCGAGUCUUAACUGGGCGUUAAGUUGCAGGGUAUAGACCCGAAACCCGGUGAUCUAGCCAUGGGCAGGUUGAAGGUUGGGUAACACUAACUGGAGGACCGAACCGACUAAUGUUGAAAAAUUAGCGGAUGACUUGUGGCUGGGGGUGAAAGGCCAAUCAAACCGGGAGAUAGCUGGUUCUCCCCGAAAGCUAUUUAGGUAGCGCCUCGUGAAUUCAUCUCCGGGGGUAGAGCACUGUUUCGGCAAGGGGGUCAUCCCGACUUACCAACCCGAUGCAAACUGCGAAUACCGGAGAAUGUUAUCACGGGAGACACACGGCGGGUGCUAACGUCCGUCGUGAAGAGGGAAACAACCCAGACCGCCAGCUAAGGUCCCAAAGUCAUGGUUAAGUGGGAAACGAUGUGGGAAGGCCCAGACAGCCAGGAUGUUGGCUUAGAAGCAGCCAUCAUUUAAAGAAAGCGUAAUAGCUCACUGGUCGAGUCGGCCUGCGCGGAAGAUGUAACGGGGCUAAACCAUGCACCGAAGCUGCGGCAGCGACACUAUGUGUUGUUGGGUAGGGGAGCGUUCUGUAAGCCUGUGAAGGUGUACUGUGAGGUAUGCUGGAGGUAUCAGAAGUGCGAAUGCUGACAUAAGUAACGAUAAAGCGGGUGAAAAGCCCGCUCGCCGGAAGACCAAGGGUUCCUGUCCAACGUUAAUCGGGGCAGGGUGAGUCGACCCCUAAGGCGAGGCCGAAAGGCGUAGUCGAUGGGAAACAGGUUAAUAUUCCUGUACUUGGUGUUACUGCGAAGGGGGGACGGAGAAGGCUAUGUUGGCCGGGCGACGGUUGUCCCGGUUUAAGCGUGUAGGCUGGUUUUCCAGGCAAAUCCGGAAAAUCAAG
rnacentral:rRNA from 1 species